AAAAAUCAAGCCCAAGCUACAUGAUACUUUAUCGAGUCACAUGUAAUUUCUCUUGAUAGUGAAUUUAUUUAUGACAUAAAUUAAAUUUGACUUUGCAUUAUUGCAGUCCAUUACUGGUUCAAAUUCUUACUGAUUGACUUUAAUGAAUUAACAACAUCAAAUUCUCAAAUGAUUUGUUUAGAUGUGAUUAAUAUAGUUUUCAGCAGCAGCCACAUCUUAUUACAUUCUUUCAAAGCUUGUGUUAUAAAAGUUUGAGUUUGAUGAUUACUAGGAUUCGAAGAAGAAUCCCAGCCUCAAAGAAGAUGAUCAGUUGCAGCAAUUUCUCCAGAUUUUGCAUUUGCAUGCAAGUGCUUCAUUUCCAUCUUCUCAUUCUUGAUGAUCUCUUCUUGAGUGUGCUUGUCAUCUUCUAUGGAUAAGACGACGAGCUCCGGCCCGUUGGGGCCUUGAAUGAUGGCCUCUUUCACCUUCAGAUGUUCAUCAGUACGUAUGAUAUCGGUUUCGUUCACCAUCUUCUUAUGUUUCCUAUUCUUGAUCAAGCACCAAAGAGCAAAGCAGCAGAAGGCGGCGAAGAAGAAGCAUCCGAACGAGACGAAGAUCACUAUGACCACAGUAGGAGCAUUGUCCGGAGGCGGUGGUGGAUGAACAUGAGGGGGUGGCGCAAUGGGGUGGAACGGAGGUGGUGGAGGAACGACAUGAGGCCGUGGCGGAUGAGGAAUGACGUGAGGUGGUGGUGGAGGAACGACAUGAGGCUGUGGAGGAUGUGGAAUGACGUGAGGAGGUGGUGGAGGAACGACAUGAGGUUGUGGCGGAUGAGGAACGACGUGAGGAGGUGGUGGAGGAACUCCGUGAGGCAGUGGCGGAGGAGCGAUGGGGUGAACAAAGGGUAGAGAGGGAGAGGGAAAAUAUUGGUAGGCAGCCAUUUGGAAAGCUAAGGGAGAAAAUCAAAUUCUUUGUGAAUGGU
rnacentral:lncRNA from 1 species